AAAAUAUAUACAGUAACUCCUCACUUAACGUUGUAGUUAUGUUCCUGAAAAAUGCAACUUUAAGUGAAACGAUGUUAAACGAAUCCAAUUUUCCCAUAAGAUUUCAUGUAAAUGCAGGGGGUUAAGUUCCAAGGAAAUUUUCUGGGGGAGACAAAAGGCAUUAUAUACUGUACUGUACUGUGCUUUACUGUGGUU